UGGGGAAUACUGGACAAUGGGCGAGAGCCUGAUCCAGCCAUGCCGCGUGUGUGAAGAAGGUCUUCGGAUUGUAAAGCACUUUAAGUUGGGAGGAAGGGCAGUAAGUUAAUCCCUUGACUGUUUUGACGUUACCGACAGAAUAAGCACCGGCUAACUCUGUGGC
rnacentral:rRNA from 1 species